rnacentral:pre_miRNA from 1 species
GCAGAGAGUGUAGUACAGCCAAGGAUGACUUGCCGGCCGGCGUUAGUGAAGGCAAAGGCAAAUGAUCAUUCAUGUUCAUGCAUGCAUAUUCUCCGGCCGGCAAGUUUUUCCUUGGCUAUAUUGGACUUUCUUC